rnacentral:rRNA from 1 species
GAUGAACGCUGGCGGCGUGCCUAAUACAUGCAAGUCGAGCGAACAGACGCGGAGCUUGCUCCUCUGACGUUAGCGGCGGACGGGUGAGUAACACGUGUAUACCCUACCUAUAAGACUGGGAUCACUUCGGGACACCGGAUCUAAUACCGGAUAAUAUCUUGAACCGCGUGGUUCAAUAGUGAAAUACGGUUUUUCUGGCACUUAUAGAUGGAUCCGCGCCGCAUUAGCUAGUUGGUAAGGUAACGGCUUACCAAGGCAACGAUGCGUAGCCGACCUGAGAGGGUGAUCGGCCACACUGGAACUGAGACACGGUCCAGACGCCUACGGGAGGCAGCAGUAGGGAAUCUGCCGCAAUGGGCGAAAGCUUGACGGAGCAACGCCGCGUGAGUGAUGAAGAUCUUCGGAUCGUAAAACUCUGUUAUUAGGGAAGAACAAGUGUGUAAGUAACUAUGCACGUCUUGACGGUACCUGAUCAGAAAGCCACGGCUAACUAAGUG